AGGUGCGAAGGGAGAUCUCGCCCCCCAUCCCCACCCUCCAGAAGAGACACAGGACCCCCCAGUCCACCCCCAGUCCCCCCAGCAUGGACAGCAAACGCCCCACCACCCCCCUGUCUAAGGGCUCUCUUUCAGUGCCCCAGUCCCAGACACCCUCUGUCCCAGCUGUUAAGAAGGAGCUGGGAGCUGCAGGCUGCCUACCAGAGUACAACAGGGAAGUGCUCUGUAAGUUGACUGCAAUCCGUAAAAAGCUGCUCAGAGAGCAGAAACGGGUGAAGGGCCAGAUGAUGCGCUCAGAGUGAGAGGAGCUGGACUCACUUGACAGGAUGGAGGCUUCCGGGGAGCCUAUCAGACUUCCAGAUGACUACAUCCUGUCAAGGUGUGGUCGAAGAGGGUGGACCCAAAGAACAUGGGGAAAUACUGACACACAAACAUGAAGACACAAGAACGUGACAAGGACUGUCAAAGGGAGCAA